UGCUGUCACAGUGGCCAUUGCAGCAGCCUGUGGACAUCACAACAGCCACCACUGCCCUGCCCUUUGCACCUCCCUGGGACUAAGAGAGUGGAAAAUGUGAUACUGAGCAGUAAUUGCCAUCAGCACUGCCAGAACCAGCCACCAGAACGUGAGGGAGUGGUACCAGAUGCAUCAUUGGUCUGUGCAGUGUCAACCUUUAUAAGCCUCUACAAUAACAUGAGGAAGAUGAUUGAAGCCUUUUGUUGUCUCUCUUCUGAAAAGACUGAACCUAUUCCAGUGCUGCAGAUCUCAGAGGAGGAGACUUUCCAUUGAGGUUGGAGGUAUUUCCUGUAGAUCCUUGGGAUCAUCAGGGCCUCGGCUGAUUUCUCCAGUACUCCUUAGUCUUCUGGCUCCAAAAAAGACUCUGUACUCUACAAACCACGCAGAGGAAAAGUUAGGGCAGUGGAUAAAGCUCUACUGCUGAGUGUGGAGCCUGCUUACCUGCCCAGAUCACAGGCGAUGCUGUUGGGAAUCACAAAUACAGUCCUUACUAAGUGGCAAGAGGAACACCUGGGCACCGAGUCCACAUCAUCAUUCUCACUGUGACAGAGUAUUUAGCAUGGUUCCCAUUCACAAAUAACUUGUGUCUAUCAGCUGGAUCAGCAUCGCUCUUCGUGAUCCAUACUUCACGCUUCCUCCAUUCAUUCACUGACUGCUUUUAGCUUGCUUAACCAUGCUAAUAUGCAAAAGGAGGGUCUGAUUUACAGGGCUAUCUUCUCAAUAUGAACACUUUUAAGUUCAUUAUCAGUUACAGAAUGAGGCUCCAGGUGAGAUAAAACCCUUGCCUCACGAAUAUUGUUACUAAAGCUUUGUAUGCUGAUGAGCGGGAUUCCUGUAUUUGGAAGCCAAAUAAAAACUAUCCAAGGUGAA